rnacentral:ncRNA from 1 species
CGGUGAUGAAUCGGUGGACUGGUUCGGCAUCGGUCUACUGAGGAGCCAAGCUAUGAGAUGAGCGAAAACCACAAACCGAAUGGAUUCAAGAAAUUGAAAGAAUGCGCUCAGC